CAGUCUGCUCCGACCUACGGACGCGUGUGCAUGUGUGUGGGUGCCGCGCGCGUCGAGUGCAGCAGUACAGGUCCGGCCAUGACCGACCAGGGGUCUGGCCGAGACCCGAACAUCGGCGAUAGACAAUCAACAUGGUCUUAAAUUAAUGUUGAGGUAGUGGUACAGUUUGACACUGCCUGUUCUGGGUUUAAAUUCCCAGAAAAACCAAAAGUUGAAGAAAAAAGCACCAGCAACGAAUACAACGCGCCCGCCAGAUUCUGUUCGCCCAUCUGGUGUUAUUCGCCGGUCACCGAGCCGGCGUGUGGACCGGCCUGAAAGUGGAGGAGUGGGAGCGACGUCGCGACUCCGCUCGCUCCACGACGGUGUUGCACCAUGGCGGAAAGGUUCGGCGCAUCAUGGGAACGACGACAGUGGUCUUGACGCCGGAUCAGGCGUCACUGGUGAGCCUCUUCUACCAGCAUGCCCGCUCGCUCCUGCCAACGGCCGCAAACAGUGACCUCUUCCCCGGGCUGCAGCCGCAUAACCCGGGUGGAGUCGAGGGCCUGUUUGAGGGGCUCGACAAAGGGGAGCCGACCCUGUUGUGCGGUGGAAACGAAUGUCGCCAGUUUCAUACUGACCUGAGCCUCGACGUCGCCAACAGCGUCUAGGACGGGCCUGCUUCAUCCUUCACAACCUGUGCUGCCAUCACGGCGAUGAGGGCGAGUGGCUGGCAGCCGACGACCCUGCCCGCGCCGCCCGGCUGCUGGUGGAGGAGGCUGGCGGGCUGUCGCCGGGAACCCAGAAGAGGCACCAACAACGGCAGCCGAGAGGCGCCGUUGUAAUCGCAACCGUCUUUUUUUGUGAAACUGGCCACUGGUGGUAGUGACCUUAAAUAGCAAAAUAUUAUUUGACGAACAAGUCUCCGUCGAUGAUUUUCAAUAACAUGUAACGAUUUUACAACACAUUUCUUGAAAGCCUGUAAAAGGUGAAAAUGCGACCUUUGACCUGACCUGUGACGUCAUCGGUUUGACCGAGGUCAAUGAAAUUGGGUCACAAGGUAGUUCCCCGGUGGGGCUAUCGAACGCUGUUUAAAUCUUGAAAGUCGGCCGGUAACUUUCCGAGAUCUGGGGGGGGGGGGCGAAAGGCCCCCCUUCCUCUACGGGUGGUAGGGUCCGCUGAUAGACAUACGGGGCGCGGGUUAAGUUAUCGGUUAGCCCGCCCAUUACGUUAAUCACACGAGGUCUGAUUUCACAGGUGCUGUACCUGGGCGACAAAGGCGGCAGCACCGUUGGCGAGUGUGUCCGCCGCGUCAUGGCCCAACUGAUGAGGAGCGGCCUUGGGCAGCGCUUUAACAUGAAUGGGGCCCAGCGUCACGGAAAGACGGGCUUUAGAACAACGAAGCUCUACACUGUCGUCUACAGGCCAGUCAAACAGAACCCGGCCUUGUCGGUGACAGAAAAGGACAUAGCCAACGCUAUCGGAAAGUGGCUGGUGAACAGCCGAGACCGGGAAGGUUACAGGACGGCGCGCCAGGCCACCAACAGUAGCGGCGGUGGCAGCGGGGGCGGCGGGCGCCGACACCAGCAACGGCGGUGGCGGCGGCAACGGCGUCGAACAUAACGCUGACGCUGACGAGGGCGGGGCGGGGCGGUGCGUCACCUAGUGUGUCUCGCGUGUAAUAUACGUUUAAAGGAAACUGUCGUAGUUGUUAAUGUAUGAAUGUACCAGAAGUGAAAGGAAGCCAGGUAGUUUUAAGUCCACAAAAGGACA